GCAAUACAAAGUAAGUAGCGAACGGGUGAGUAGCGCAUGGGAAUCUACCUAUCAAUAAGGAAUAAGUGCCAUUAGGUACAAAUACCUUAUAUUAUUCUACGGAAGAAAGAUUUAUCGUUGAUAGAAGAGCCCAUGUCAGAUUAGAUAGUUGGUGAGGUAAUGGCUCACCAAGUCGAUGAUCUGUAGCUGGUUUGAGAGAACGAUCAGCCACAAUGGAACUGAGACACGGUCCAUACUUCUACGGAAGGCAGCAGUAAGGAAUAUUGGGCAAUGGGCGAAAGCCUGACCCAGCAAUACCGCGUGAGUGAUGAAGGCCUAUGGGUUGUAAAACUCUUUCAACGGGGAGGAU
rnacentral:rRNA from 1 species